rnacentral:sRNA from 1 species
AUGGGGUAUAGACCUGACACAAUCACAUUUACAACUUUGAUUCAUGGGCUUUUUCUCCACAACAAAGCUUCUGAAGCUGUGGCGUUAGUUGAUCGAAUGGUUCAAAGAGGCUGUCAACCAAAUCUGGUUACUUAUGGAGUGGUAGUAAAUGGAUUAUGUAAGAGAGGUGAUAUUGAUUUGGCUUUUAAUCUGCUCAACAAGAUGGAAGCUGCGAAAAUAGAGGCGGAUGUUGUUAUCUUCAACACAAUCAUCGAUAGUCUCUGCAAAUAUAGACAUGUGGAUGAUGCACUCAACCUAUUCAAAGAAAUGGAAACCAAAGGAAUUAGACCAAAUGUUGUUACCUACAGCUCCCUCAUAAGUUGCCUUUGUAGUUAUGGAAGAUGGAGUGAUGCCUCUCAACUACUGAGUGAUAUGAUUGAGAAGAAAAUCAACCCUAAUUUAGUCACGUUCAAUGCAUUGAUCGAUGCGUUUGUGAAAGAAGGAAAGUUUGUAGAGGCUGAGAAAUUGC